CGCCUGAAGGGUGAUGCCAAGGCGAAAGCGGCUGCGGAGGGCGCGCGCACUGUUCCGCCGCGCGAGCAUGGCGGCAACUGCGACAUUAAGGAUUUGUCGCGCGGUUCGAAGAUCUACUUCCCGGUCUAUGUUUCGGGCGCGGGUCUUUCGAUGGGCGAUCUUCACUUCAGUCAGGGUGACGGCGAAAUCACCUUCUGCGGCGCCAUCGAGAUGGCCGGCUGGCUGCACAUCAAGGUCGAU
rnacentral:misc_RNA from 1 species